rnacentral:snRNA from 1 species
GGAGGGUAUGGAGGGACAUCUGUCACCCUUUGAUACCAGGGUUGAUUUGCCCGAUCUGGCUGGCUGGACGGAUGUCUCCUCCCUCCUUCCCUCAGGGCUCCACUGUCCACCGUUGAAGAGGACCUUCCCCAAAUUGAGGGGGAUGGUCUUCAGCCAAGAAUAUAGAUAGAGCAGUAGUGCUUCCUUCUAGAACCCCGAAACAAGCUCUCAAAUGAGGAAGGAAUAUUGGGACUGUAAAAUGUGUGUGCGCUGAGAGCCCAUCCC